AAAACUCGAAAUCAAGGCCUGAACAGAGCAGAACACGCACAAGAUGUACAAACUUAAUGUUUCUGUUGUUUUAUUUAGGGCCUGAACAGAGCAGAACACGCACAAGAUGUACAAACUUAAUGUUUCUGUUGUUUUAUUUAGGGCCUGAACAGUGCAGAACACGCACAAGAUGUACAAACUUAAUGUUUCUGUUGUUUUAUUUAGGGCCUGAACAGAGCAGAACACGCACAAGACUAAUAGUAAGGAAGUUGUUUUUGGUUUUGGACCGUCUGAAAAUAGUAGGCAUCAUGCUGAAAGAACGUUGUUGUGAACGUUUUGUCAUGUUUCAAACGAAAGUGUACUUUUAACAUGCUUUGUUAACCUGUUAAAAUCAUUACGCCAUCAUCGAGGCCUAAUAAAUAGUGGGCUCGUCAGAGCAUAAAUAAUUUAACCAGCACGUGAAAUCCAAGAGAAAAUACAGUGUUCUUGACGAAAUUGUUUUGGUAAAAAUUGGUCAACACAUCCUGAGAUGGAGGAAGGUGACACGCGUAACGGAAGAUUCAAGAUCCAUGAAUGAAACGUGAUUAUUAUGAUGUAACAUCACAGUAAUUUUUACUGGUAAACUUUUACGGAAAUUCAGGGAGAAAAAGAACGAGUUAGCAACUUGAGAAGGAACCAACUCAUUCAAGUGCGUCUUCAUGCAUACUUUAGCACUGAUUCCUUUAAGAUGGAGAGCAUGAUAACGGUCCUAGCUGUAAGAAGAAAGUUCAGGGACAAUGAGCAUCAGAGACACAACCAUAUGGCCAGCUGUAAACGCUUCGCAAGACCUAGGCCUAAUCCCCCUUCCUCCCCUCAAUAGAAAUAAAGAAUCGUAUUUCUCAUACGUGUUUGUUUUAUCCUUAUUAACAACUGGUUUGAAUUGAACACUCAUUUCAAUUUUGUGUUAGAAAUUUCAGUGAAGUAAAAGAAGUCAGAAAAAUAAACAAUUUAUCUUGUGA